UUGCUGUGAGGACUUAACUUAGGACGCCUUUGGAAUACCCGUGGGGAAAAAAAAACAAAACAAAACAAAAAAAAAAACAAUUCUGAGCAAC